rnacentral:rRNA from 1 species
CGGGGUGCAGCAGGCGCGAAAACUUCGCAAUAAGCGAAAGCUUGACAGGGCUAUCCCGAGUGCCAUCCGCUGAGGAAGGCUUUUACCCAGUCUAGAACGCUGGGGGAAUAAGGAGAGGGCAAGUCUGGUGUCAGCCGCCGCGGUAAUACCAGCUCUCCGAGUGGUGUGGAUGUUUAUUGGGCCUAAAGCAUCCGUAGCUGGCUAAGUUAGUCCCCUGUUAAAUCCACCGAAUUAAUCGUUGGAUUGCGGGGGAUACUGCUUGGCUAGGGGACGAGAGAGGCAGACGGUAUUUCCGGGGUAGGGGUGAAAUCCUAUAAUCCCGGGAAGACCACCAGUGGCGAAGGCUGUCUGCUAGAACGCGCCCGACGGUGAGGGAUGAAAGCUGGGGGAGCGAACCGGAUUAGAUACCCGGGUAGUCCCAGCUGUAAACGAUGCAGACUAGGUGUUUGAACGGCCACGUGCCGUUCUAGUGCCGCAGGGAAGCUGUUAAGUCUGCCGCCUGGGGAGUACGAUCGCAAGAUUGAAACUUAAAGGAAUUGGCGGGGGAGCAC